GAUCACCUCCACUGCUAUGUCCUGCGGCGCUGCAGUCGGAACUGAGGAACACACGAAGGAAGACAAUGCCAAAAGACAACUGAAGACAGGAGGGGGGGUGAUGACACGAGAUAUUCACAAAGUAACCCGAUGCAACUUUGGGUUCAGGUCCCCAACCGUGGCUGUUCCUGCUCUGGAUUUUGAUCUCGUACGGGAUGAACGUGCUCGUGUU